rnacentral:rRNA from 1 species
GACGAACGCUGGCGGCGUGCCUAAUACAUGCAAGUCGAACGCAGUGGGGACGGGUGAGGAACACGUGGGUAACCUCCCAUCAGAGGGGAUAACACUUGGAAACAGGUGCUAAACCGAUACUGAUGGAUGCACCCGCGGUGCAUUAGCUAGUUGGUGAGGUAACGGCUCACCAAGGCCACGAUGCAUAGACGACCUGGGAGGGUUAGCGGCUACAAUGGGACUGAGACACGGCCCAGAGUCCUUCGGGAGGCAGCAGUAGGGAAUCUUCGGCAAUAGACGAAAGUCUGACCGAGCAACUCUGCGUGAGUGAAGCAGGUUUUGGGAUCGUAAAACUCUGUUGUUAGAGAAGCGGUAUCUAACCAGAAAGCCACGGCUAACUACGUGCCAGCAGCCGCGGUAAUUC